AUACAUACAGGCAUACAAAGACAUGCAUGCAUACAGAGACAUACUGCCAUACAGACACAUACAUAUAUACAGGCAUACAGAAACAUACAUACAAAGACAUACAGGCAUACAUACAGAGACAUACAGGCAUACAGAAACAUACAUACAUACAAGACAUACAGGCAUACAGACACAUACAAACAUUCAUACAUAGAGAGGCAAACCGUCAUACAGACAUACAUACAUAAACAUACAUACAAAGACAUACAGGCAUACAGAGACACACAGACACAUACGUACAUACAGAGACAUAAAGGCAUACAGUUACACACAUGCAUACAGAGACAUAUAUACAGACAUUCAGAGACAAACAAAC